ACGGCUCAGUAACACGUGGACAACCUACCNUCCGGACGGGUAUAAACCCGGGAAACUGGGUAUAAUCCCCGAUAGAUCUCGGUCGCUGGAAUGCCCCGAGAUCGAAAGCUCCGGCGCCAGAGGAUGGGUCUGCGGCCUAUCAGGUAGUAGUGGGUGUAGCGUACCUACUAGCCUACGACGGGUACGGGUUGUGAGAGCAAGAGCCCGGAGAUGGAUUCUGAGACACGAAUCCAGGCCCUACGGGGUGCAGCAGGCGCGAAAACUUUACAAUGCCGGCAACAGCGAUAAGGGGACCUCGAGUGCCAGGUUACAAAUCUGGCUGUCGUGAUGCCUAAAAAGCAUUGCAUAGCAAGGGCCGGGCAAGACCGGUGCCAGCCGCCGCGGUAACACCGGCGGCUCGAGUGGUAACCGUUAUUAUUGGGUCUAAAGGGUCUGUAGCCGGCCGGAUAAGUCUCUUGAGAAAUCCAGCAGCUCAACUGUUGGGCUUUCAGGAGAUACUGUUCGGCUCGAGGCCGGGAGAGGUGAGAGGUACUUCAGGGGUAGGGGUGAAAUCUUGUAAUCCUUGAAGGACCACCAGUGGCGAAGGCGUCUCACCAGAACGGACCUGACGGCAAGGGACGAAAGCUAGGGGCACGAACCGGAUUAGAUACCCGGGUAGUCCUAGCCGUAAACGAUACUCGCUAGGUGUCGGCCACGGUGCGACCGUUGUCGGUGCCGUAGGGAAGCCGUGAAGCGAGCCACCUGGGAAGUACGGCCGCAAGGCUGAAACUUAAAGGAAUUGGCGGGGGAGCAC
rnacentral:rRNA from 1 species